AUGCUGGGGGACAUUUGUAUUACGAUUGUCAUGAGGCUCUAUCUUCAUUUCUGACUGAUUUUUAAACAGUAUGUCUUAAAGUUCCGUUAAAAAAUGUCUCUAUUCCUUAGUGUCUCUGGAAAUAACUCAGGGUCUGUAAACCAACAUUUAAAUGCCCAAAGGAAGAACCUGGCAGGGAACUUCAGAGCGAAUAUUUUCAUGAAGGGAGAAAUUCUUUGGUAACUUGAACAAUUGCUGCCUUGGUAUUUGGAGGCAAAUAAAUCAACCUUUAGGGGAAAGAGUUCUUGCCCCAAUUUAGGGGCUUUUAUAAACUGAGACGACAGCUCAAUCUCAGGGGCUGUAACUAGAAUCACAGGCUCCCCCAGUCUGCUACUUAAGAAGCUGUUAAUGGCCAGCUUAUUAGCCCAUUAGCAACUGCUUUAGCCCAUUAGGAGACGUUUAAGUGGUGCAAACCGCUGGCAGUUCCAGCAGGGUGAGGCUUGGUUGACUUCGCCGUGGUGAUUCCUUGCUUUGGCAAAUUAUCUGAGUGGGUCAGGGCAGCUUUCCUCGUGUGACGUUUACUUGUAAUGAGGCACGCCUGUACUCCGUGUCCCAUCUGGGGUGGAAUUCUUAGGGCGAUCAUUUGGAAAGGGGUAGUUUUGUUCUUGUAAACUAUAGACUCUCAGCUGCUGAUGACCCGACCACUAGCCACCUACCUCUAAUUGCCACCCCUCUCCCCUGCGGCUGCUCCCAACCACAGAGGAAUUAGUUAAAAACUCUGGUGAUUAGAGGAGAUGUUGCCAAACCUGGAGGGGUGGCCUGUGUGUGGACUGCAAGAAGUUAGCCUGGCUUGAUUCUUGAUCUGUUUUAUGCCUAUAGUAGGGAGACUAGUGGCCCCUGCUAAAGCUGGACCCUGCCUGAAUCCCUGCAACCCAUGAAUAUGUUACCUUACAUGACAAAAGGGAAUUUGUGGAUGUGAUUAAAGACCUUGAGAUGGGGAGAGUAACCUGCAUUAUCCAGGUGGACCAAUGUGCUCACAAGAGUCCUUAAAUGUGGAAGAAGGAGGGAAAAGAGGAGGUUAGAGUGAUGCAAUGUAAGAAGACUUCCCUGUUGUUGCUUGAAGAUGGAGGAGGGAAGGGAGCAGAGGCAUGCGGCAGCCUCCAGAAGCGGGAAAGGGCAAGGACGUGAAUUCUCCACGUAGAAUUCUUCCGCAGAGUCUCUGGAAGGGAACACAACCCUGCUGACAUCUUGAUCUUUGUCCAGUGAGCAACAUUUCAGCUUCUGACCUCAGACUGUAAGACUCUGUGGCACGCACAGCAUUUUAACAGAGGAGCAUAAACACAUCUACACCUGGCAUAACUUGAAACAUGAAGCCACUUGGUCAAAAGCAACCAUCGCAAGAACGGAAGAAUAUUGCACAGAGUGGGUGGUGAAGUGGCUGGAUGACACAAAGUAAUGCAGAAACCACUAAAGAGAGAAAUUUUACCUCCGUUUUAUGGAUAAGUGUAUUGACUUACAGAAAGUGUCAGUAACCGGUCUCAGGUGACACAGCUUCCUCAUGGCCCAAACUGUCCUCGGCACUCUGCCUCCACUCCAUGGUUUGCAUGAGGAAAUAGCAGGGGAGCUGUGCAGCCGCUGUGUGGUCCCAGGGGGCGCUCUGGAGGACGAAUUGCACCUGGGCGGAGGCUGUCCCACCAGAGGUAAGCGGGAUGGCCUCCACAGCUGCGGUUCGGUUGGCCACUGGCUACGGGUCUUCUGGAGGUGUCAGGGAUAAAAUCGCCCAGGCAUCCCUAGAUGAGGCGGCUCCCACCCGCCUGGGGCAACCUCUAGCGAAGAGUGCAGGCGUGAGCCUCUACAAGCCAAUAUCUGCAGCAGACGGGGACCGGAGCAGCCUCCAGGGAACGGGGUCCACCGCCCUCAUACACGGCUUUCACCUACUGUCGUCUACUUCCGAGUUCACUUCCACCAUCAAUUUUUUUUGCCUUCCCUGCCCUUAUCAGGCUUUUUCAGGCCUCUGUGCUGUUCCACCUGCUAUUCCCUGUGCUCGGAAAGCCCCUUUCCCCCUUUUCUCUGUGGGAUGCUCUCCUAGUCAUCAUUUCAGAUGAAGCUAGAAUGUCAGUUUCCCGGUGGAGCCGUUCUUGUUCCUCCCAAGCAAGAGCUGAUCCUGA
rnacentral:lncRNA from 1 species